AGUGUUUGGAAGCAUCGAUUGAGGCUACUGUGUGGCGGGUUAAGUAGAUUCGUACUGGUUUUAUGGACUGAGACAUAUAGCAUUUGGAGUUGCGAAUUCACAAGAGCUUGGUCGGUCUGUGCAUGUUGAUGAAAUAUUUUAGCAGACACAUAUUCAUCAAUCAAUAGGGGAAUUUGUGGACGAAAGGUCUAGGCGGACCCAUGAACAAUUUGUUGCAAAAUUUUCUCAAAUAAGAUCUGAGACUGCAUCUGUUGGUGUCUCAACAUCUUCUCCUCUAGACCCUAC